rnacentral:rRNA from 1 species
CCCUUAGAUGUUCUGGGCUGCACGCGCGCUACACUGAUGCGUUCAACGAGUGUACAACCUUGCCCGAUAGGGUUGGGUAAUCUUUUGAACACGCAUCGUGAUGGGGAUAGAUUAUUGCAAUUAUUAAUCUUCAACGAGGAAUUCCUAGUAAUGAUGAAUCAUCAGUUCAUCGUGAUUACGUCCCUGCCCUUUGUACACACCGCCCGUCGCACCUACCGAUUGAAUGGUCCGGUGAAAUCUCGGGACGGCGGCUUGGUCGCUUGCGUCCGACUGCUGAAACUUGAUUAAACCAUAUCAUUUAGAGGAAGGUGAAGUCGUAACA